AACGAACGCUGGCGGCGUGAAUAAGACAUGCAAGUCAAACGAGAGAAUUGCUAGCUUGCUAAUAAUUCUCUAGUGGCGCACGGGUGAGUAACACGUGAGUAACCUGCCCCCGAGAGCGGGAUAGCCCUGGGAAACUGGGAUUAAUACCGCAUAGUAUCGAAAGAUUAAAGCAGCAAUGCGCUUGGGGAUGGGCUCGCGGCCUAUUAGUUAGUUGGUGAGGUAACGGCUCACCAAGGCGAUGACGGGUAGCCGGUCUGAGAGGAUGUCCGGCCACACUGGAACUGAGACACGGUCCAGACACCUACGGGUGGCAGCAGUCAAGAAUCAUUCACAAUGGGGGAAACCCUGAUGGUGCGACGCCGCGUGGGGGAAUGAAGGUCUUCGGAUUGUAAACCCCUGUCAUGUGGGAGCAAAUUAAAAAGAUAGUACCACAAGAGGAAGAGACGGCUAACUCUGUGCCAGCAGCCGCGGUAAUACAGAGGUCUCAAGCGUUGUUCGGAAUCACUGGGCGUAAAGCGUGCGUAGGCUGUUUCGUAAGUCGUGUGUGAAAGGCGCGGGCUCAACCCGCGGACGGCACAUGAUACUGCGAGACUAGAGUAAUGGAGGGGGAACCGGAAUUCUCGGUGUAGCAGUGAAAUGCGUAGAUAUCGAGAGGAACACUCGUGGCGAAGGCGGGUUCCUGGACAUUAACUGACGCUGAGGCACGAAGGCCAGGGGAGCGAAAAA
rnacentral:rRNA from 1 species